AUGGAUCCCAGCCAGCCUUUCAGUGACACACGUCCAUAUCCAGGACAGUCUGGGGUCACUGUACAGCCUCCAGUUUUUGUGACUACUGCUCCACUAGCCAGUCUAGUUCCAGAUUACUUGGGUUACUCCAUCUUCACCUUUCUGUUCUGCUGUUUUCCUCUGGGCAUUGCUGCGCUAGUUUUCUCCUCCUCUACUCGAGAUGCCAUCUACUCAGGACAGCAAGAAUUAGCAAAGAGGAAUUCCAAAAUGGCGCUCAUGCUGAAUAAUAUCAACCUUGGGAUUGGCUUGGUUACUUUUGUAAUUAUUUCCAGGAUGUUGUAUUUCAGAUAAAAGCUUUUAGAGCUGACAUGGCUGGAUGCAGAUUACAAACAGAUUUGUGUUUUUCUUUAUUUUAAAUGUUACUUGCUCAAUUUAAGGCUGAUUAUUCUAUGUUUAAACUAAUUCUACCAUGCAGUUUUCUGUUCUCUUUACUUCUAAAAUGUUUUGUUUAGGCUUUUGGCUUAUUUUAAAUAUCUUGUGUGCAGCUGUGCUUGUUUUUUUUUUUUUUUUCAUUGAUCAACCAACUUAAACAGAAAUGAAAGUUUUAGUCAACUACUCAAAUCAGAAAGUAUAUAAUGGGAACACCAGUAUCAGAAAAGUUUAGUAAGUUUUACUUAAUAAAAAAAAAUCAUUUUUUUUUAUUACCUGAACUAACUUUUUCGUGUAGAAAUUAAAUUGUUUUUUUUCUGUAGUAUUUACUUCACCACACAAUCAUUUUUAUCAGUGUAGCAUGGACUGCUGACAGAAAGAAAACUAGUUUGUUAUGACGGCUAAUAAUUAUUUCUGAAUAAGACAACACUUUGCUACAUUUCUAAUACCAUAUUGUAAUACAUUGCUUGUCCAAAAAUAAAUAAAUAAUGCUUUUCGAACAAUUAGGUCUAGAUGUACAGGUAGUUUUGAAAAAGUGACCUAUUUUCAGAAAUGUUUCCCAGCAUUUGUAAAUAAAAACUGUAGCCUAAUUGGAGGGAAGUUAGAGUAAAUCUUUUUUUUUUCUAUUGUUCUUUGAGAAAAUAUUAUAUUUUUUAGAGGUAUUGAAUUUUUUAUUUUCCUAAGCUGUACGUCAUAACCAUCAGAAUUAAAACAAAAACUCUUGAAAUAGUUCAGUUUGUGUGCAAUGAAUCUAGGGUAUAAGAGAGUUUGCUUACAAAAAAAUGAGAACUUUUCUGUGAUAAUGUAAUUUUUUUAAGAUUCAUGUAGGGGAGAGACAUACAUAUUUUGUCCUUUAUCUUUGCAAAAAAAUUAUUUAAUUACAUUGUCAUAUUUUCAUUUUAAAUUUAAGUUUCAUCAGAUGUCUCAAAAC
rnacentral:lncRNA from 1 species